GAACGGGUGAGUAACGCGUGAGGAACCUGCCUCAAAGAGGGGGACAACAGUUGGAAACGACUGCUAAUACCGCAUAAGCCCACGGUGCCGCAUGGCACAGAGGGAAAAGGAGCAAUCCGCUUUGAGAUGGCCUCGCGUCCGAUUAGCUAGUUGGUGAGGUAACGGCCCACCAAGGCGACGAUCGGUAGCCGGACUGAGAGGUUGAACGGCCACAUUGGGACUGAGACACGGCCCAGACUCCUACGGGAGGCAGCAUG
rnacentral:rRNA from 1 species